rnacentral:lncRNA from 1 species
AGCCAGGGCUCGGCCACCAGGCUUGCUGGGUAACUGGGCAGGGCGACUUCCCCUUCAGAGGUGGGGGAGGCUGGGGAGUGCCGCAUGGGGCAGCCCUUCCCUCUGAGCGUGCUCUUCAGUGGGAUAUACGCCUUCCUCAACAACCAUGGCUCACCACUCUACUGGGAGCUCCAUGCAUUGAGCUGGAUGCAGCUGCCUUCUUGGGACCUUCAUAUAUCGAGGGACCAAGGACUUGGAGCUUAACUGGAGUACCGAGGGGCUCUUUCCCCCAGCAUGGCUUGGAGGUAGGGGACACGUGGGGCCUAAGCCUUUAUCUGGACCUUCUUCUGAUGUUCACCACAGAGCCUGACCAUGUCACAAUCAAAACACCUUCAUCAAACCUGCAAGAAUCAGCCCUAGUCACCUGAGGUUCAGAGAGCCCAAGCAGCCUGCCCAGAGGCACACAGCAGAGUCCAGCCCAGUCUCUCCCCGUGAUGUUCAUGUCUUGCUGAGUCCACCUAAAGCCUCAACUUGAGGUGUUCUCAGCCUUGAACACACCUGGUGUUUUGGAGAAAGCCCCACAUGGCUCACAUUCGCUCUGGCCCACCAUGUAAUUCACUCCUGGGCUUCGUUUUUAUUUCAGUUCACUGGGUUCCCCUCUCCUGACCUCCAUCUUAGCAGGGGAGGUCAGGGGUGUCCAGUGGUUACAGCGACGGGAGAGUAUGACUAUGUAGGGGCAGUGAGAGUUUUGGGGGCGAUGGAACUGUCCUGUAUCCUGAUUGUGGUAAGGGUUGUGUGAAUCUAUAUAUGUGUUAAAACUCAUGGGACUGUGCACCAAAAGUAAAAUAAAAAUAAAAAAGGAAAGGAUCGACCUCUGCUGGAACACAUCUAGCUCUGACAGUACCAGGA